GUUUGUUUUGUCAAUGUUCAAUAACUUUGUAAUAUUGGCUGGAAUGAUCUCAAGGCUUUUGUCCAUGAUUGUAGCCAUAGCCACGGGUCAUGUUAUGCAAAUGUUUAAUGAUUUGCAUUAUUCAAACCCUUAUGGCUGGUUUACACUAUCCGAAAGUUUCGAUGAACACAGCAGGAAUUUUGCAUAGGUAAAUUCUACGUUUGGAAGAAAAUCUGACAAUCUGUAAGAAUUGUUUGAGCUAGGCAACUGACUCAGUGUUAAACACUAAAGCCCUUAGCAAACUAUAGGAAACAUUGUUGUGGAAGCAUUUGUGAUUAUCGAUGUUUCUUAGCUCUUCUUCAUAUGUUUCCCUGUUUGCCCACCCGUGGAAACAUUGUUGCGGAAACAAAAUCUGCUUCCCGAGAAGCAAAAAUGUUUCCUAGCAAAUUCAGAAACAUUUGAUGUUUCCUUAUGUUUCUCACAAUGUUUCUAUAGUGUUUGCCCACUCUGGGAAACAUGCAUGGCGAUACAUUGGCAGAAAACAAUGUGUCUGCAACAAUGUUUCCUAGUUUGUCCAGGUCUUUAGUCAGUUCCCUCGAACAUUUCUUACAAAUCCUUCAAGGCUUAGAAUUUACCUAUGCUUAAAAAAUCAUUAAUAAUAAUAAUUCAUGAGGGAACGACAAAGGAAAUCACUGCCGCAUGUCGGUGGUUUUGUAUAUGAUCAAAAAUCAUGUUCACAUUUACAUAAACUUUAGCUUUGAUUUUCUCGGCUUGGACAACGUUUAUUUUUAAAAUUACUUCGCCAAUCCGUGCUUUUAUCAGAUACAUACAUGAUGACGACUGAAUCUUAGUCGAAAGCUAGAAUAUUAAAAUGUUUAUUUUCGGAGUUACCGUUGUUUUAUGUACUAUUUAAAAAACGAGCAGGAGUGUUUUAUUAGGUUUAAAGCCACGAGCGCGCAGCGCGAGUGGCUUUAGACCUAACUGAUAAAACACGACUUCAAUAAAACAUGGCUUCAAAAGCGUAUGCAUAAUAAGUCAAAUCUUUAUAUAAAAAUCUUUAUAUAAAAACCUUUAUAUAGUUUGCAUAACAAUGGUCUUUUGUUAAAGUGUUCUUUAGCUGGU